rnacentral:misc_RNA from 1 species
GAAAUGCGAUAAGUAAUGUGAAUUGCAGAAUUCAAUGAAUCAUCGAAUCUUUGAACGCACAUUGCGCCCGCCAGUAUUCUGGCGGGCAUGCCUGUUCGAGCGUCAUUACAACCCUCAGGCCCCCGGGCCUGGCGUUGGGGAUCGGCGGAAGCCCCCUGCGGGCACAACGCCGUCCCCCAAAUACAGUGGCGGUCCCGCCGCAGCUUCCAUUGCGUAGUAGCUAACACCUCGCAACUGGAGAGCGGCGCGGCCACGCCGUAAAACACCCAACUUCUGAAUGUUGACCUCGAAUCAGGUAGGAAUACCCGCUGAACUUAAGC